rnacentral:sRNA from 2 species
UCAUGAGAAUAUAAUAAAUCACGAUAACACCUUCAUUCGACUGCAUAUGAGAAUAGUAGAAAUGAAUGUUGAUAUAUUUACUGUGUACUGUGGUCACUGCAAUAGCAACUCGAUCAAUUAAAACUCUUAUUAUAUAUCUUUAUUGACAGAGAGUUCUUCAUUAGUAUAUUGCGCAACUUUAUAGUCUUUAAAUUAUUUUACUAAGUAUCACAUAUUCUCUCAUUAAAACUUAAGAAUAUAUUACAUUCACUGUUCAAAAGUUCUACUCAAUCUGAGUCCAUAUAAACAAGAGAUAGGUAUGACGUGUUGAGGAAAUGAUCUAUUUCUUCACCUUCAUCAGAUUCUUUGUACAACAUACCCAGAUCACCCAUUUCUUUUAAAUGUUAUACGACAUGUGGAAGCGCCUUUCAUGCCUUAGAGAUAGAAGCGGUGUUCUUUUGCAUCGGUACUGGUAGUGAUGCUAUGUGGGUGAUAUCUGGGCCGUCCGGUUCCGAGAGGGUGUCUCUACGCGUGGCUCGGUGUUGUAUCAGCCCAAGGGCGUUAUAGAUUGACGGAUUUCAUACUUUUUAAACGGCUUGAAGAUAAUUAGAAAUCACUUAUCCAUUUAAAUCAUCAGUUGUUAUUCAUAAAAUCACUUCAUGGUGCAUGUUAUGAACAUUGAAAGGUGGGUGAAAAAUGAAGGUCGAGGUGAGUGUUG